rnacentral:rRNA from 1 species
UGUGGUGUUCGGGAGGGUCCAUUAUCCCGAGGUUAUGCGACGCGUCCAAGUCCUUCUUGAACGGGGCCACAGCCCACAGAGGGUGCCAGGCCCGUAGUGACCGUCGCCGAUCGCGGGAGGAUCUCUCCUUAGAGUCGGGUUGCUUGAGAGUGCAGCCCUAAGUGGGUGGUAAACUCCAUCUAAGGCUAAAUAUGACCACGAGACCGAUAGCGAACAAGUACCGUGAGGGAAAGUUGAAAAGCACUUUGAAGAGAGAGUUCAAGAGUACGUGAAACCGUUUAGGGGUAAACCUGAGAAACCCGAAAGGUCGAAGGGAGAAAUUCAUUCGCGUUUCGCCGCAGGCGUUGUGCGGGAUCGUGUGACGGGGAAGGAGGUAGAGCGUUCGCGCACGCCCCUUUUCCGCGCCUUCCGUUCUUUACGAACCGGUGGCGAACGCGUGCACUUUUCUCCUGGUAGGACGUCGCGAUCCGUUGAGUGUCGGUCUACGGCGCGCGGUGGAGCCCGUUUGUACUUUAACACGUUCGUCGUGUGGGUGCUGGCGGACCCGUGCGUUCCGGCCGACUCGCUCGACGGUAUAAGUAAAGGUUUAAGGCCGCUCAUUGGAGCGUUCGACUCGCGGCAAGCGCGCCAGAUGCGUCGGCGAUCGGACCUAGUGCCGAUUCUGACCUCCGGUGACUGUUGGCCGUCGAAUGUCUCGAACAGACCUUCGAACCGAUCUGCGACGCUAUAGCUUUGGGUACUUUCAGGACCCGUCUUGAAACACGGACCAAGGAGUCUAGCAUGCGCGCGAGUCAUUGGGAAUCUCUAAACCUAAAGGCGCAAUGAAAGUAAAGGUCUCCCCUCUCUCGCAAGAGAUGGGGGGGGACUCAGGGAAGACGGGCGGUUUUACCCUUAAAAGUGGCCGCUCCGCAUUCCCGGGGCGUCUCGUUCUCAUUGCGAGAAGAGGCGCACCAUGAGCGUGCACGCUGGGACCCGAAAGAUGGUG